UGGGGAAUCUUGGACAAUGGGCGCAAGCCUGAUCCAGCCAUGCCGCGUGUGUGAUGAAGGCCUUAGGGUCGUAAAGCACUUUCGCCAGGGAUGAUAAUGACAGUACCUGGUAAAGAAACCCCGGCUAACUCCGUGCCAGCAGCCGCGGUAAUACGGAGGGGGUUAGCGUUGUUCGGAAUUACUGGGCGUAAAGCGCACGUAGGCGGAUUAGUCAGUCAGAGGUGAAAUCCCAGGGCUCAACCCUGGAACUGCCUUUGAUACUGCUAGUCUUGAGUUCGAGAGAGGUGAGUGGAAUUCCGAGUGUAGAGGUGAAAUUCGUAGAUAUUCGGAGGAACACCAGUGGCGAAGGCGGCUCACUGGCUCGAUACUGACGCUGAGGUGCGAAAGUGUGGGGAGCAAACAGGAUUAGAUACCCUGGUAGUCCACACCGUAAACGAUGAAUGCCAGUCGUCGGGCAGUAUACUGUUCGGUGACACACCUAACGGAUUAAGCAUUCCGCCUGGGGAGUACGGUCGCAAGAUUAAACUCAAAUG
rnacentral:rRNA from 1 species